UACGUAGGGUGCGAGCGUUAAUCGGAAUUACUGGGCGUAAAGUGUGCGCAGGCGGCUGAGCAAGUCGAGUGUGAAAGCCCCGGGCUUAACUUGGGAAUUGCGCUCGAAACUACUUGGCUUGAGUGUGGCAGAGGAAGGUGGAAUUCCACGUGUAGCGGUGAAAUGCGUAGAGAUGUGGAGGAACACCGAUGGCGAAGGCAGCCUUCUGGGCCAACACUGACGCUCAUGCACGAAAGCUAGGGGAGCGAACGGG
rnacentral:rRNA from 1 species